rnacentral:rRNA from 1 species
GGGCGAGCUGAUCAGCCAUGCCGCGUGAGUGAAGAAGGCCUUCGGGUUGUAAAGCUCUUUUAGUUGGAAAGAAAGAAUUAUAGUUAAUAGCUAUAAUUUAUGACGGUACCAACAGAAAAAGCACCGGCUAACUACGUGCCAGCAGCCGCGGUAA